rnacentral:rRNA from 1 species
GAAGUAAAAGUCGUAACAAGGUUUCCGUAGGUGAACUGCGGAAGGAUCAUUAUUGAAUAAGCUGGUUGGGUUGUUGCUGGCUCUCCGGGGCAUGUGCACACCUGACACCAACUUUUUACCACCUGUGCACUUCUGUAGACCUGGAUAAACUCUCGAGGAAACUCGGUUUGAGGACUGCUGUGUGUAAAAGCCAGCUUUCCUUCUAACUUCCGGUCUAUGUCUUUAUAUAUACCCCUACAGUAUGUCUAAGAAUGUUUGUUGUUGGGCUUCAAUGCCUUUAAACUUAAUACAACUUUCAACAACGGAUCUCUUGGCUCUCGCAUCGAUGAAGAACGCAGCGAAAUGCGAUAAGUAAUGUGAAUUGCAGAAUUCAGUGAAUCAUCGAAUCUUUGAACGCACCUUGCGCUCCUUGGUAUUCCGAGGAGCAUGCCUGUUUGAGUGUCAUGAAAUUCUCAACCUUUUCAGCUUUCUUUGUUGAUCAGGCUUGGAUGUGGGAGUAUGCGGGCUUCUCAGAAGUCGGCUCUCCUGAAAUGCAUUAGCGGGACCUUUGUUGCCUGGCUUUGGUGUGAUAAUUAUCUACGCCAUGGUAGUCAAGCAGCUUAAAAUGAGGUUUCAGCUUCUAACCGUCUCCCCUGGGACAACUUUUUGACACUUUGACCUCAAAUCAGUAGGACUACCCGCUGAACUUAAGCAUAUCAUA